GUGAACCAGCGGAGGGAUCAUUACUGAGUUACCGCUCUAUAACCCUUUGUGAACAUACCUAACCGUUGCUUCGGCGGGCAGGGGAAGCCUCUCGCGGGCCUCCCCUCCCGGCGCCGGCCCCCACCACGGGGACGGGGCGCCCGCCGGAGGAAACCAAACUCUAUUUACACGACGUCUCUUCUGAGUGGCACAAGCAAAUAAUUAAAACUUUUAACAACGGAUCUCUUGGUUCUGGCAUCGAUGAAGAACGCAGCGAAAUGCGAUAAGUAAUGUGAAUUGCAGAAUUCAGUGAAUCAUCGAAUCUUUGAACGCACAUUGCGCUCGCCAGCAUUCUGGCGAGCAUGCCUGUUCGAGCGUCAUUUCAACCCUCAAGCACCGCUUGGUUUUGGGGCCCCACGGCACACGUGGGCCCUUAAAGGUAGUGGCGGACCCUCCCGGAGCCUCCUUUGCGUAGUAACUAACGUCUCGCACUGGGAUUCGGAGGGACUCUUGCCGUAAAACCCCCAAAUUUUUUACAGGUUGACCUCGGAUCAGGUAGGAAUACCCGCUGAACUUAAGCAUAUCAAU
rnacentral:rRNA from 1 species